rnacentral:rRNA from 1 species
UGGGGAAUAUUGGACAAUGGGCGCAAGCCUGAUCCAGCGACGCCGCGUGAGUGAUGAAGGCCUUCGGGUUGUAAAGCUCUGUUGAAGGGGAAGAAAAAGGGUGGUUCGAAUAGGGCCGCCCCUUGACGGUACCCUUUUAGAAAGCACCGGCUAACUCUGUGCCAGCAGCCGCGGUAAUACGUAGGGUGCAAGCGUUAAUCGGAAUUACUGGGCGUAAAGCGUACGCAGGCGGCUUUGCAAGACAGGUGUGAAAUCCCCGGGCCUAACCUGGGAACUGCAUUUGUGACUGCAUGGCUAGAGUCUGUCAGAGGGGGGUGGAAUUCCACGUGUAGCAGUGAAAUGUGUAGAGAUGUGGAAGAACACCGAUGGCGAAGGCAGCCCCCUGGGAUAAGACUGACGCUCAUGUACGAAAGCGUGGGGAGCAA